GAUGAACGCUGGCGGCGUGCCUAAUACAUGCAAGUCGAGCGAAUGGAUUAAGAGCUUGCUCUUAUGAAGUUAGCGGCGGACGGGUGAGUAACACGUGGGUAACCUGCCCAUAAGACUGGGAUAACUCCGGGAAACCGGGGCUAAUACCGGAUAAUAUUUUGAACUGCAUGGUUCAAAAUUGAAAGGCGGCUUCGGCUGUCACUUAUGGAUGGACCCGCGUCGCAUUAGCUAGUUGGUGAGGUAACGGCUCACCAAGGCAACGAUGCGUAGCCGACCUGAGAGGGUGAUCGGCCACACUGGGAAUGAGACACGGCCCAGACUCCUACGGGAGGCAGCAGUAGGGAAUCUUCCGCAAUGGACGAAAGUCUGACGGAGCAACGCCGCGUGAGUGAUGAAGGCUUUCGGGUCGUAAAACUCUGUUGUUAGGGAAGAACAAGUGCUAGUUGAAUAAGCUGGCACCUUGACGGUACCUAACUAGAAAGCCACGGCUAACUACGUGCCAGCCGCCGCGGUAA
rnacentral:rRNA from 1 species